GGAGGGGGCGAGCGUUAUUCGGAUUUACUGGGCGUAAAGCGCACGUAGGCGGCUAGGUAUGUCAAAGGUGAAAGCCCUCGACUCAACCGAGGAACUGCCUUUGAAGCUGCUUGGCUUGAGUCCGGGAGAGGGGAGCGGAAUUCCCAGUGUAGCGGUGAAAUGCGUAGACACUGGGAGGAACACCGGUGGCGAAGGCGGCUCCCUGGACCGGCACUGACGCUGAGGUGCGAAAGCGUGAGUAGCAAACAGGAUUAGAUACCCUGGUAGUCCACGCCGUAAACGAUGGGCACUAGGUGCAGCGGGUGUCGACCCCCCUGCUGUGCCGAAGCUAACGCAUUAAGUGCCCCCGCCUGGGGAGUACGGUCGCAAGGCUG
rnacentral:rRNA from 1 species